rnacentral:lncRNA from 1 species
UUGAAAUACGUUAUGUUUGACUAAUCAUGAAUAUAACUAUUAUAUAUAUUAAUAUUCCCUGCAAGAUGCCUGUUAAAAAGAAAAACUGAAGAAACUCUAAAACUAGAUGAUGGCAACUGAAGAAGCCUCUACUUCAAUCUGGCUAUUGUUAUAACACGUUUAUCGAUUUAUAUACUGUAUUGAGUUAGCUUGUGAUUUGUACGUGUGUUUUUGUUUGCCUAGUGUUAGUUAGUUAUAUGCAAGAUACGACAUGGUAUGGCACACUGCAUGUGUAAAAGUGGAUGAAAGCACUAAAGAAGCGUAACGAUAAACUUUAUGGUGGCGAUAUGAGGAGAACUAAUGUGGCAGUAUACUACUAUCGUAGAACAG